UACGAAGGGGACUAGCGUUGUUCGGAAUCACUGGGCGUAAAGCGCACGUAGGCGGAUGUGUCAGUCAGGGGUGAAAUCCCGGGGCUCAACCUCGGAACUGCCUUUGAUACAGCACGUCUCGAGUCCGGAAGAGGUGGGUGGAAUUCCUAGUGUAGAGGUGAAAUUCGUAGAUAUUCGCAAGAACACCAGUGGCGAAGGCGGCUCACUGGCCCGGUACUGACGCUGAGGCACGAAGGCCAGGGGAGCAAACGGG
rnacentral:rRNA from 1 species